rnacentral:rRNA from 1 species
AUCUGCCCUUCAGUCCGGGACAACUUUCCGAAAGGGGAGCUAAUACCGGAUAACAAUGUUUGACAUAAGUUGAAUAUUUGAAAGCUCCGGCGCUGAUGGAUGAGUCUGCGUCCCAUUAGCUUGUUGGUGCGGUAGCGGCGCACCAAGGCUACGAUGGGUAGCGGGUUUGAGAGGACGAUCCGCCACACUGGAACUGAGACACGGUCCAGACUCCUACGGGAGGCAGCAGUGGGGAAUAUUGCACAAUGGAGGAAACUCUGAUGCAGCAAUGCCGCGUGAGUGAAGAAGGCCCUUGGGUCGUAAAGCUCUUUUAUGGGGGAAAGAUGAUGACGGUACCCCAGGAAUAAGCCCCGGCUAACUAC